CCUACGGGAGGCUGUAGUGGGGAAUAUUGGACAAUGGGCGAAAGCCUGAUCCAGCCAUGCCGCGUGUGUGAAGAAGGCCUUCGGGUUGUAAAGCACUUUCAGUGGGGAAGAAAGCCUUGGGGCUAAUACCCUCGAGGAAGGACAUCACCCACAGAAGAAGCACCGGCUAACUCCGUGCCAGCAGCCGCGGUAAUACGGAGGGUGCGAGCGUUAAUCGGAAUUACUGGGCGUAAAGCGCGCGUAGGCGGUCUGAUAAGCCGGUUGUGAAAGCCCCGGGCUCAACCUGGGAACGGCAUCCGGAACUGUCAGGCUAGAGUGCAGGAGAGGAAGGUAGAAUUCCCGGUGUAGCGGUGAAAUGCGUAGAGAUCGGGAGGAAUACCAGUGGCGAAGGCGGCCUUCUGGACUGACACUGACGCUGAGGUGCGAAAGCGUGGGUAGCAAACAGGAUUAGAUACCCUGGUAGUC
rnacentral:rRNA from 1 species